ACUUAAACUUAAUUAAAAAUCUCAAUUAACAAUAAAAAUCUCUCAUUCUCUCCUUCUCUCCUUUACGCACACGACACUCACACCUCUUCUCUCUCACCAAAUCUGCCAUCGUGGUUCCUCCUCCGGCGAGCAGCUAGGUCGUCGUCGCCGCCUCACUGAUUUCGCCGCCUCGCUCUCCCUGAGCUCGAAACCCUAAGACGCUGUCUCCCAAAAUUCAUCGUCUUCCUCUGAGCUCGAAUCCCCGUCCACUGCCAGUGCUCCGACCGGUCUCGAUUCUCUCAAAGCACCACGGGAACUCGCUCUUGCCCUACCUCUCGCCGUUGUCCGCGACUCCGGCUCCACCUAUGCUCUGCCUGCGUGAGUAGCCUCAAGGCGAAGCUAGCGUGUCUCGAUUUGUUACAGGCAGCAGUACAGAGCUAGGAGGAGCUCCCCGUCGUCCCCCUGCUCAUCACCAAAUGUUGAGCUUGUGAAGAUCACACAAGACAUGAAGUCAUUCAAGGCAUACGACAAGCUGCGUCUGGAGCGAACGAAUGCACGCCACGUUGGUGUUAGAGCCAAGAGGGCAGCCGAAGCUGAGAAGGAAGACAAGAAGUAGGUACAAGUGAAGUGAUUGUGAGUUUGUGAUUCAGCAAACUGUUUAAUCUGUUUUGCUUUGGGGCUGGACCGAUUAUCUUGAUUUUGGUUGAAAUUUUCUUAGUAUUUUCAGCUCUUUGUAUUGAAUUAUCUGAGACAGCAAAUCUUUUUAUCGUUUUGUCAUUGAUGAACUUACUAUAUUUCAAUA